rnacentral:rRNA from 1 species
UGGGGAAUCUUGCACAAUGGAGGAAACUCUGAUGCAGCGACGCCGCGUGAGCGAUGAAGCCCUUCGGGGUGUAAAGCUCUUUCGGCAGGGAAGAUUAUGACGGUACCUGCAGAAGCAGCUGCGGCUAACUACGUGCCAGCAGCCGCGGUAAUACGUAGGCAGCAAGCGUUGUUCGGAGUUACUGGGCGUAAAGGGUGCGUAGGCGGCCUUUUAAGUUUGGUGUGAAAUCUCCCGGCUCAACCGGGAGGGUGCGCCGAAUACUGAGAGGCUAGAGUGUCGGAGAGGUAAGUGGAAUUCCUGGUGUAGCGGUGAAAUGCGUAGAUAUCAGGAGGAACACCGGUGGUGUAAACGGCUUACUGGACGAUAACUGACGCUGAAGCACGAAAGCGUGGGUAGCAAACAGGAUUAGAUACCCCCGUAGUCC